GACGAACGCUGGCGGCGUGCUUAACACAUGCAAGUCGAACGCGCCUGUCCUCUGGGUUUCUGGGGGGUGGGUGAGUGGCGAACGGGUGAGUCACACGUGAGUAACCUGCCCCCUUCUUCGGGAUAACGGUCUGAAAGGGCUGCUAAUACCGGGUAUUCACUGGUCUCCGCAUGGGGUCUGGUGGAAAGGUUUUUUUCUGGUGGGGGAUGGGCUCGCGGCCUAUCAGCUUGUUGGUGGGGUGAUGGCCCACCAAGGCUUUGACGGGUAGCCGGCCUGAGAGGGUGACCGGUCACAUUGGGACUGAGAUACGGCCCAGACUCCUACGGGAGGCAGCAGUGGGGAAUAUGGCACAAUGGGCGCAAGCCUGAUGCAGCGACGCCGCGUGAGGGAUGGAGGCCUUCGGGUUGUGAACCUCUUUCGCCCGUGGUCAAGCCGCGACGUGGGUCGUGGUGAGGGUAGUGGGUAAAGAAGCGCCGGCUAACUACGUG
rnacentral:rRNA from 1 species